rnacentral:rRNA from 1 species
CGCCUUUUGAUCAAUAUAAAAGGUAACGCCUGCCCAGUGACUUAAUGUUCAACGGCCGCGGUAUUUUAACCGUGCGAAGGUAGCGUAAUCACUUGUCUUUUAAAUAAAGACUAGUAUGAAUGGCAUCACGAGAACUAAACUGUCUCCCUCCUCUAAUCAGUGAAACUGAUCUCCUCGUGCAGAAGCGAGGAUAUUACCAUAAGACGAGAAGACCCUGUGGAGCUUUAAAUCAAAAAUCAACUGCUUAUUUUACUCUUUCCUAGAGACACAUUCACGCAGAUCUGACCUAGAUUUUUAGCUGGGGCGACUGUGGAGAAAAAACUAUCCUCCAUGAAGAACUUAAGCUACGAAUUACUAUUCUAAGCAUUAAUAAACUUAACUCCAAUUGACCCAAUCUUAUUGAUCAACGGACCAAGUUACCCCAGGGAUAACAGCGCAAUCCACUUCUAGAGUCCCUAUCGACAAGUGGGCUUACGACCUCGAUGUUGGAUCAGGGCAUCCAAGUGGUGCAGCCACUACUAAAGGUUCGUUUGUUCAACGAUUAAAGCCCU